GUUUUUCCUGACAAUGGACACUUUUAUCAAGUAUUUACCUAGAAGUGGAUUUGCUAAAUCAGGGGUAUUCAUAUGCUUCAGUUUAGUGGAUAUUGACAGGUUUUUGUUCUCAAAUGAUAGUGUCAACUUACACAUUCAUCAGCCACAUAGAAUUCUUUAUAUGCUCUUUAAAAUUAGGAAGUUCUGAAUCUCAGUUCAGAUCUACAGAGGGUAAAUCUUUGAACAGUCUCCUUUGUAGAUCUCCUGCAUCCUAAAUUUUUAGAGCUUUAAUCUGGGUAUAAUAAAGAAUAUAUCUGUUUUUUGCUUCUGGUUCCAAGUAAAGAAUUUGUAAAAACCCUUGUAAUUUGAGUGACAGGUGUUAUCUUUAUUAUGCUAAUUAGGGGACUCUAGGUGAGGCCCCUAGUUACCUUCAGGAUGGAGGCUGGUCCCCUGAGAGACUCACCCCUGGUUAAACCAUUGUAACUUUAGGUAGCUCAACUUCUGGGAAGAAGGAGGGGACUUGGAGAUUCAGUUCAGUCACAUGUCCAAUGAUUUAAUAAAUCAUGCUUACAUAAUGAAGCCUCACUACAAACUCUAGACACAGAACUCAGUGAAGAUUUCCAGUUUGUGAACACAUUGUGGCUGGUACCUGAAGUUGGCACAAAUAGUAACUUGCUUUGAAAUAUGUGAAUAUCAGAAGAAUGCCCUCAGGCAAAGAAGAUGCAGCUUUUUAAGAAAAGGAUCCAAUUUGGGUAGUAGGAACGGUGCUUCCCUGGCCACAUAGAUAUCGGUGAUUUUUUCUCUAUACUGGAAGCCUGAAGAUAAUUUGGGCUUUCUACCUACGGCCUUGUUUUUCAGCUUCCAAAAUUCUGUACAGAGCGCCCCACCCAGACAACCUCCUAGGAGCAUAGAAGAAAAAACAAUUCUAAAACCCUAUCCGUGGUAUGGUACUUCAUAAAUUUAAUAACAUUGUGGGAUCAAGCCUGAUUUGAGGGUCUUAAAACUAAAACUCAGUAUGAUAAAACGGAAGUAAAGCAAGGUGAUGAUCAGGACUUCAAAGGAACAAGUACCGUGUGAUUUCUGGAACUGAAUGGAGAGUACAUAUCAUGAACGUAUCCAGCUGAGCUUAAUUAUACCAAACAAAGCAAAUAGAACUUGGGAAGAGCUUCUCUCUGCACCUGCUUCUCCAAGAAAACAAGGAAAUUGGAGUGGUCUUUUCGUGGACUCAGUGUGGCUGUGGCAGGGGCCGUGAGACAAUAGGAAAAGGCAAAGAUUGGAGUUACAUUUUCCUAACAAAUGGGUAAUCCGUCCUCAAUCCAAAUUGGUUGAACGCUACAACCCUCAUUGUUUCCAUUUCAUUUAAUGCCCAUAAAAAUGAAUUCACUUGAAUUCAAUGGCUGUAGGCUCAGAAUAUUCGCAGUGUAUUUGUGUUGGACUCUAAGACUGAUCUGUUCGGCUUUUUUUAUUCGCUUUCUAUGAAAGAACAUUAACCCAAGACUAAGAAAGUAGAGAAAGAUGCUCAGAAUUCCAUCACAAAUUAAAUUAUUUUCAAAUUUCUUUCCACUCCAAGCUCACAUACUAAUUUUACACAGCUAUCAUCAAUGCUUUUAUAUGGUUAUGUUAACCAUGUAUUUUGUAAUGAUAUUUAGUGGGUACAUAAUAUUACAUCAGGUCGAUUAAGCAGUUUCCUUAAGCAUUCUAUCAUUCAGGGGAGUGCAGACUGAAGCUGUUUUUACUGAAACAAAUGAUUAAAAUUAACCUGUUGUUUAAUAGGAAUGCAAAUGGAUUUUUCUACAUUGCCAUUUUUUUUUGAGGGGGCGGGGCAAAGGGAAAGAGUCUCAAGCCGACUCCUCGCUGAGCACAUAGCCCAACACAGGGCUCUAUCUGAGGACCCUAAGCUCAUGACCUAUGCGGCAAUCAAGAGUUGGACACUUAACUGACUGAGCCACGCAGGCACCCCUGCCAUUUAUUUUAAAAUAAAUUCCAUAUAGUGGUCAAAUACUAUGUACUUUUCUGAUGACCCAUGAUGAAUUUUCAAAUGCAUGCAUAUCUUUUUCUGAAUGACCUGAGCAUAAUUUACAAACAUCACAUCUCUUUUUCCACAAAUAAAGUGACUAUUUCCUAAAUAUGGCUUUUCUCUAGGCAAUCACAAUAAUAUUUAUCAAAACCAGGAUACUUAACUCUAAUACUGGACUCUCAUAUAUUACACAUUUCAUACUCAAGAGUUACCAAUUGUCCUAAUAAUGUCCUGCUUAAUAAUUUUUUUCUUGAAUCAAGUCCAAUCCAGAGUCACAUUCAGUUGUUAUGUACCUUUAUUCACCUUUAAUAUGAAACCAUUUUCAGCCUUUUUUUUGGUCUUUCGUGACCUUAAAAUUUUUGAAGGACACAGGCCAGUUAUGUUACAGAAUAUCCUUCCACUUAUAUUUCCCUGAUGUUUCCUUGUGACUGGAUCCAGGUUAUGCAUUUUUAGCAGGAAAUCCACAGACUGGAUGCUGUGUCUUCCCAUUGCAUUAUUUUAGAAGAUGCAGGAUGUCAGCUUGUCAAUUUGUUGGUGAUGCAAAGUUGAUCAUUUCAUUAGAUGGUGUUGACCAGUUUUCUUCCCCAUAAAGUUACUAUUUUUUCUUUUGUAAUUAAUAAGUAAUUUGAGGGAGAUACUUUGAGAUUAUGUAAAUAUUCUAUCCAUUAAAAUUUUAUCCACUGUAUUUAGCAUCUAUUAAUGAUACCUGCCAGCAUCAAUCAUUACUGUGAUGGUUGCAAAA